rnacentral:tRNA from 1 species
GCCUCGGUAGCUCAGUUGGUAGAGCGUGUGGCUGUUAACCACAAGGUCGGAAGUUCGAGUCUUCCCCGAGGCG